rnacentral:lncRNA from 10 species
AAUCCCAGUCAGCAUUGUAGGGCACCGGGCGACUUCUUGGCAGAUACUGCAUCUUCAGCCAGGAGAAGUUGGCUUAGUACAAAAGGGCUUUUGAAGCGGAAACUACAAGAAGAUGCAUCUGUCUUAACAAAAAAUAAUAAACCAAGAAAAUAAAAGAUAUGGGAUCCUAGAAAUAAAAGGUGCAACACAAGAGAGAGAUAAAGAAAAACAUUGACAGCCUCUCUAUGAAGAAAGACCCAAAGUAACAACUUUGCAAC